rnacentral:rRNA from 1 species
AACAGGAUUAGAUACCCUGGUAGUCCACGCCGUAAACGAUGUCGACUUGGAGGUUGUCCCCUUGAGGAGUGGCUUCCGGAGCUAACGCGUUAAGUCGACCGCCUGGGGAGUACGGCCGCAAGGUUAAAACUCAAAUGAAUUGACGGGGGCCCGCACAAGCUGUGGAGCAUGUGGUUUAAUUCGAUGCAACGCGAAGAACCUUACCUACUCUUGACAUCCACGGAAUUUGGCAGAGAUGCCUUAGUGCCUUCGGGAACCGUGAGACAGGUGCUGCAUGGCUGUCGUCAGCUCGUGUUGUGAAAUGUUGGGUUAAGUCCCGCAACGAACGCAACCCUUAUCCUUUGUUGCCAGCGAUUCGGUCGGGAACUCAAAGGAGACUGCCGGUGAUAAACCGGAGGAAGGUGGGGAUGACGUCAAGUCAUCAUGGCCCUUACGAGUAGGGCUACACACGUGCUACAAUGGCGCAUACAAAGAGAAGCGACCUCGCGAGAGCAAGCGGACCUCAUAAAGUGCGUCGUAGUCCGGAUCGGAGUCUGCAACUCGACUCCGUGAAGUCGGAAUCGCUAGUAAUCGUGGAUCAGAAUGCCACGGUGAAUACGUUCCCGGGCCUUGUACACACCGCCCGUCACACCAUGGGAGUGGGUUGCAAAAGAAGUAGGUAGCUUAACCUUCGGGAGGGCGCUUACCACUUUGUGGUUCAUGACUGGGGUGAAGUCGUAACAAGGUA